UACACGACCGUACCGCAAACCGACACUGGUGCGCGAGAUGAGUAUUCUAAGGCGCUUGAGAGAACUCAGGAGAAGGAACUCGGCAAAUUGACACCGUAACUUCGGAAGGAGGUGUGCCUUUAGUAGGUGAACCUUACAAGGGGAGCCCAAUGAGGUUGCAAAAAAUCGGUGGCUGCGACUGUUUAAUAAAAACACAGCACUCUGCAAACACGAAAGUGGACGUAUAGGGUGUGACGCCUGCCCGGUGCUGGAAGAUUAAAUGAUGGGGUGCAAGCUCUUGAUUGAAGUCCCAGUAAACGGCGGCCGUAACAAUAACGGUCCUAAGGUAGCGAAAUUCCUUGUCGGGUAAGUUCCGACCUGCACGAAUGGCGUAACGAUGGCCACACUGUCUCCUCCUGAGACUCAGCGAAGUUGAAAUGUUUGUGAUGAUGCAAUCUCCCCGCGGAAAGACGGAAAGACCCCAUGAACCUUUACUGUAGCUUUGUAUUGGACUUUGAACAGAUCUGUGUAGGAUAGGUGGGAGGCUUUGAAGUGUGGUCGCUAGAUCGCAUGGAGCCAACGUUGAAAUACCACCCUGGUGUGUUUGAGGUUCUAACCUAGGCCCGUAAUCCGGGUCGGGGACAGUGCAUGGUAGGCAGUUUGACUGGGGCGGUCUCCUCCCAAAGCGUAACGGAGGAGUUCGAAGGUACGCUAGGUACGGUCGGACAUCGUGCUAAUAGUGCAAUGGCAUAAGCGUGCUUAACUGCGAGACUGACAAGUCGAGCAGAUGCGAAAGCAGGACAUAGUGAUCCGGUGGUUCUGUAUGGAAGGGCCAUCGCUCAACGGAUAAAAGGUACUCUGGGGAUAACAGGCUGAUACCGCCCAAGAGUUCAUAUCGACGGCGGUGUUUGGCACCUCGAUGUCGGCUCAUCUCAUCCUGGGGCUGUAGCCGGUCCCAAGGGUAUGGCUGUUCGCCAUUUAAAGAGGUACGUGAGCUGGGUUUAAAACGUCGUGAGACAGUUUGGUCCCUAUCUUCCGUGGGCGCUGCAGAUUUGAGGAAGCCUGCUCCUAGUACGAGAGGACCGGAGUGGACACACCUCUGGUGUAUCGGUUGUCACGCCAGUGGCAUUGCCGAGUAGCUAUGUGUGGAAGAGAUAACCGCUGAAAGCAUCUAAGCGGGAAACUCGUUUCAAGAUGAGAUCUGCCGGGGCCUUGAGCCCCCUAAAGAGUCGUUCAAGACCAGGACGUUGAUAGGUCGGGUGUGGAAGCGCAGUAAUGCGUUAAGCUAACCGAUACUAAUUGCUCGUGCGGCUUGACCA
rnacentral:rRNA from 1 species